rnacentral:rRNA from 1 species
UACAGAGGGUGCAAGCGUUGUUCGGAAUUACUGGGCGUAAAGGGCGCGUAGGUGGCCUUCUUAGUCAGACGUGAAAUCCCCAGGCUUAACCUGGGAACUGCGUCUGAUACUGGAAGGCUUGAGUUCGGGAGAGGAAUGUGGAAUUCCAGGUGUAGCGGUGAAAUGCGUAGAUAUCUGGAGGAACACCGGUGGCGAAGGCGGCAUUCUGGACCGAAACUGACGCUGAGGCGCGAAAGCCAGGGGAGCAAACGGG